rnacentral:RNase_P_RNA from 3 species
GAGGAAAGUCCGGGCUCCAUAGGGCAGGGUGCCAGGUAACGCCUGGGAGGCGCAAGCCUACGACUAGUGCAACAGAGAGCAAACCGCCGAUGGCCCGCGCAAGCGGGAUCAGGUAAGGGUGAAAGGGUGCGGUAAGAGCGCACCGCGCGACUGGCAACAGUUCGUGGCACGGUAAACUCCACCCGGAGCAAGGCCAAAUAGGGGUUCACAUGGUACGGCCCGUACUGAACCCGGGUAGGCUGCUUGAGCCAGUGAGCGAUUGCUGGCCUAGAGGAAUGACUGUCCACGACAGAACCCGGCUUA